rnacentral:rRNA from 1 species
GAGAUGGAUUGGUGCCUUCGGGAACUCGAACACAGGUGCUGCAUGGCUGUCGGCAGCUCGUGUCGGGAGAUGUUGGGUUAAGUCCCGCAACGAGCGCAACCCUUGUCCUUAGUUGCCAGCACGUAAUGGGGGGAACUCUAUGGAGAGCGCGGGGGAGAAACCGGGGGAGGGGGGGGAGGACGUCAAGUCUUCUUGGCCCUUACGGCCGGGUUUACACACGUACUACAAGGGUGGGGACAGAGGGGUGCAAGCCGGCGACGGGAAGCCAAUCCCAAAAACCCUAUCUCAGUCCGGAUUGGAGUCUGCAACUCGACUCCAUGAAGUCGGAAUCUCUAUAAAUCGCAAAUCAGCAUGGCUGCGGGGAAUACGUCCCCGGCCCUUGUACCCCCCCCCCGCCACACUAGGGAAGUUUGUUUCACCAAAAGAAGUAACCUUACCCUUCGGGGGGGGGCUUGCCCCGGGGGGGCCGAUGACUGGGGGGAAAUCAUAACAAGGAAACCAAAAAUUUGGUCCC